UUAAGUCAGGCAACGAGCGAGACCCGUGCCCACUGUUACCAGCAUGUCCUCCGGGACGAUGGGUACUCUGUGGGGACCGCCGGUGUUAAAUCGGAGGAAGGUGCGGGCCACGGUAGGUCAGUAUGCCCCGAAUUUCCCGGGCUACACGCGGGCUACAAUGAAUGGGACAAUGGGUCCCUCCCCUGAAAAGGGCUGGUAAUCUCACAAACCCAUCCGUAGUUCGGAUCGAGGGCUGUAACUCGCCCUCGUGAAGCUGGAAUCCGUAGUAAUCGCGUGUCUUAACCGCGCGGUGAAUACGUCCCUGCUCCUUGCACA
rnacentral:rRNA from 1 species